AACGUGUGAUAUGAGCCCUGGAUAUAACAAUUUGGAUCUUUUUCUUCUAUGUCGAUGAACCCCCGCCAAAAAUCGUUAUGUCCAAUGUUUUUAAUUCUUUUUAUACCCUCUUCAAUUGCAAAAAAAUAAUAUUCCUUCCGUUCUACAAUAUAAAUUAUUUUAGCUAAAAAUAUGUAGAUUAAUUUU
rnacentral:sRNA from 1 species